rnacentral:rRNA from 1 species
GACGAACCGAGCGAACGUUGUUCGGAAUCACUGGGCUUAAAGGGCGCGUAGGCGGGUGCUCAAGUCCGGGGUGAAAUCCUCCAGCUCAACUGGAGAACUGCCUCGGAUACUGGGUGCCUCGAGGGUGGCAGGGGUAUGCGGAACUAUCGGUGGAGCGGUGAAUGCGUUGAUAUCGAUAGGAACUCCGGUGGCGAAGGCGGCAUACUGGUCCACUUCUGACGCUGAGGCGCGAAAGCCAGGGGAGCAAACGGG